ACGAACGCUGGCCGCGUGCUUAACACCUGCCAGUCGAACGGAAAGGCCCUGCUUGCAGGGUACUCGAGUGGCGAACGGGUGGGUAACACGUCGGUGAUCUGCCCUGCACUUCGGGAUAAGCCUGGGAAACUGGGUCUAAUACCGGAUAGGAGCCAUUUUUAGUGUGCUGGUUGGAAAGUUUAUUCGGUGUAGGAUGAGCUCGCGGCCUAUCAGCUUGUUGGUGGGGUAAUGGCCUACCACGGCGGAGACGGGUAGCCGGCCUGAGAGGGUGGACGGCCACACUGGAACUGAGGCACGGGCCAGGCUCCUAAGGGAGGCAGCAGUAGGGAAUCUUCCGCAAUGGGCGGAAGGCUGACGGAGCAACGCCGGGUGAGUGAUGAAGGUCUUCGGAUCGUAAAACUCUGUUAGUAGGGAAGAACAAAUGUGUAAGUAACUAUGCACGUCUUGACGGUACCUAAUCAGAAAGCGACGGCUAACGACGUG
rnacentral:rRNA from 1 species